CACGUAGGGGGCAAGCGUUGGUCCGGAUUUAUUGGGCGUAAAGAGCUCGUAGGCGGCUCAGUAAGUCGGGUGUGAAACCUCCAGGCUCAACCUGGAGACGCCAUCCGAUACUGCUGUGGCUAGAGUCCGGUAGGGGAGCGUGGAAUUCCUGGUGUAGCGGUGAAAUGCGCAGAUAUCAGGAGGAACACCAGCGGCGAAGGCGGCGCUCUGGGCCGGAACUGACGCUGAGGAGCGAAAGCGUGGGGAGCGAACAGG
rnacentral:rRNA from 1 species